rnacentral:ribozyme from 14 species
GGAUGAAAAGGAAUGACAAAGAACAGAUGCUGACAAAAAAAAGUAGAACUGCCAGGGCACAGAAGCAGGAGUAAAACCUGCUCUUCUUUGAUCCAUUUUUCCUUUUCCUCCGAUUAUUUUGCUGCAUUUUUGUUAGUUAAGAAAGAAUGUACUGAGAGGUCAUAU